CCUAUGGGGCGCAGCAGUGGGGGAUAUUGCACAAUGGGGGAAACCCUGAUGCAGCGACGCCGCGUGAGCGAAGAAGUAUUUCGGUAUGUAAAGCUCUAUCAGCAGGGAAGAAAAUGACGGUACCUGAGUAAGAAGCCCCGGCUAAAUACGUGCCAGCAGCCGCGGUAAUACGUAUGGGGCAAGCGUUAUCCGGAUUUACUGGGUGUAAAGGGAGCGUGGGCGGCCUGGCAAGUCUGAUGUGAAAUACCGGGGCCCAACCCCGGGGCUGCAUUGGAAACUGUCAGGCUGGAGUGUCGGAGAGGCAG
rnacentral:rRNA from 1 species